GCAUAUCAAUAAGCGGAGGAAAAGAAACCAACAGGGAUUGCCUCAGUAGCGGCGAGUGAAGCGGCAAGAGCUCAGAUUUGAAAUCGUGCUUUGCGGCACGAGUUGUAGAUUGCAGGUUGGAGUCUGUGUGGAAGGCGGUGUCCAAGUCCCUUGGAACAGGGCGCCUAGGAGGGUGAGAGCCCCGUGGGAUGCCGGCGGAAGCAGUGAGGCCCUUCUGACGAGUCGAGUUGUUUGGGAAUGCAGCUCCAAGCGGGUGGUAAAUUCCAUCUAAGGCUAAAUACUGGCGAGAGACCGAUAGCGAACAAGUACUGUGAAGGAAAGAUGAAAAGCACUUUGAAAAGAGAGUGAAACAGCACGUGAAAUUGUUGAAAGGGAAGGGUAUUGCGCCCGACAUGGGGAUUGCGCACCGCUGCCUCUCGUGGGCGGCGCUCUGGGCUUUCCCUGGGCCAGCAUCGGUUCUUGCUGCAGGAGAAGGGGUUCUGGAACGUGGCUCUUCGGAGUGUUAUAGCCAGGGCCAGAUGCUGCGUGCGGGGACCGAGGACUGCGGCCGUGUAGGUCACGGAUGCUGGCAGAACGGCGCAACACCGCCCGUCUUGAAACACGGACC
rnacentral:rRNA from 1 species